rnacentral:lncRNA from 1 species
GUCAUACUGUCACACUAUGAACAAAAUGCCUGUAAUGUGUGUAUAUUUAAUAUUCAAUACAUCAAAUAUGAGGCAGCAUGAAGUUCUUAUUAUGAUAAAAUAGCUUUGCUGUGCAUCUGAGAAAAUCCCUCCAAAGAUUUCCGUACAGUCCUCUGAACCUCUCUGAGGCUCUUAAAUUAAUGAAGAGGUUUCCCAAUGGAUGGUGGCAGAAUAAAGCACAGAUUUGUUCAUCUCUCUGGUAUAUAUUCCCACAGAAAGCUGUAACACAAACUCUGGGGAUGAGAUGCCAGAGGGACUCUCAAUGUCUCUAUUUCUAGUUUCUUAUGCUCUUUCAUCAAAGAGUUACAACUGUCACAUACAAAAUAACAGGAAAAAUAAGUUUUGGGUUGCUAAGGCUUAUUUGGUUUUUAGGGUCUACCUCCAUGCAACUAAAGACACAUAUUAAUAUAUAUUUUAAAAACACUCUUAAUUUUAAUAUUAAGAAAAUAAAAAUAAUACAGUUAAACACAGAAAAAAUACUACAUAAGAAGCUUUUUUCAUACAUCUAGUAGGAGAAAGCGAAUUUUUUUGGAGGUCGUCUGAUAAGCAAAAUUAUUUGAAAGCUUUUAAGAUCUAAGAUACAAAAGGACUGAUAAAAAGCCCCUAAACAAUAUUCUGGGAUCUCAAGUCAAAUACUUUCAGCAAAUAACAGCAAGGUCUACAGUAAUAACAAUCAAUUCAACUAAUGAUAUACAUUAGUUAUCAAAGGAAAAAUGUUGGGAGAUAUCACUUUAAAUUCUAAGAAGGUUUUUAAAAUGUUUUUGUCUCUUGGGUUAAUGUGUUGCAAUAUACUGGCAAAGGUAAUUAAACAAAUUCUCUUGCAUUUCUAUUGCCAGGCUUUGGCUUCAGCUGAGGAAACUGUCCAGAAAGGACCCAGGGCUAGUGGGAUUCAAUGGACAUUUCGAGCAGAGAGUUCCUUCUGCCAUGUUUUUUCUCUCCUUCACAAUGGGCUCAACCAGGAGAAGUGGGGAGGAUCAUCAUGGGACCAAGACUGCAAAGAUCAUCAAGAAUCUUUGCACUGUUCCUGA